GCGCUCGUAGCUCAGCUGGAUAGAGUACCUGGCUACGAACCAGGCGGUCGUAGGUUCGAAUCCUACCGAGCGCGCCA
rnacentral:tRNA from 2 species